UUUUCAGGCAACACUAGUAGCACAAUGUGCUACAGGCAAGAAUCACAGCAGAUAUCUGGUGCUGCUGUACAGCCAGGACGAGGGCUUCACAGCGGCACCUUCCAGACAUCUGGAAAACGACACAGCGAGGAGUCUGGACCUGCCACAGGCUCAAAAGUCCAGAGGCAGAGCAGCUCUUAAACAUCAGAAAUCGUCAAUAUAAGUGGUCAGCAGGACUUCG